GGGGUGAAAACCUCAGCGCAGACGUUUGGAACAGUGAACGCAGCAGAUUUUCUGUCCGACCAUCCUGGAUGUAUUCUUCUCUCAGGAUGUUUUCAGAAGAGGGUGGGAGAUUGGGAUGGCAUUAAUAUGGAGUUGGAAUUCCCUCUGCAGCUACAAGAGCUUCCACCUUUCUGGGAAGGCUUUCUACAAGAUUUUGGAGUGCAUCUAUGGGAAUAUUUGCCCAUUCAUACAGAAGAGCAUUGACAAUCGCAAGAGAUCUGCUUCCUUUCAUCUCUGUCAUCA